GAUGAAGAACGUAGCGAAAUGCGAUAAGUAAUGUGAAUUGCAGAAUUCAGUGAAUCAUCGAAUCUUUGAACGCACAUUGCGCCCAUUAGUAUUCUGGCGGGCAUGCCUGUUCGAGCGUCAUUUCAACCAUCAAGCCCUGCUUGUGUUGGGGUCCUGCGGCUGCCCGCAGGCCCUGAAAACCAGUGGCGGGCUCGCUAGUCACACCGAGCGCAGUAGCACAUCUCGCUCAGGGCGUGCGGCGGGUUCUUGCCGUAAAACACCCCCUUUUUACCAAGGUUGACCUCGGAUCAGGUAGGAAUACCCGCUGAACUUAAGCAUAUCAAUAAGCGGAGGA
rnacentral:misc_RNA from 1 species